rnacentral:antisense_RNA from 1 species
AAGGCACGACAUUGCUCACAUUGCUUCCAGUAUUUUUCGCCAGCCAUCGGGCUGGCGUUUUUUU